UCCUAGAAAGGAUAAAUGAUUACCUAUAAACUAUGAAAUAAUAAUAUCAAUGCGUAGAAUACGCUGCAACAAGUGAAUGAGUUUGGGCGUUUCAAUACUAUCAAAUAACCAUAUGUUUCUAAUUGAAUAAUCAACAUGUAUAAAAUCAUCCAAUCUUAGCAAUACUGUACAAUUUCAUACGCUGAAAAUUCAUGGAAAUAUACGAAUUAAAGGAAAAAAGGAGAAAGAAAGAAAUUACGCGUACCGGUGGUUCCACAGGGUUUUUGGAACUCCGUGUAAUCUCCAUUGUUACGGAUAAAUUCCACUGAAGCUUCGAGAAAAUAUGCGUAGAUUUACGAUAGUUUUGGAGGUGAAGGUGAAGGAAAAAGCCUUGACAAGAUUAUAAAGGUUUGCGUUCGAAUUCGAAUUGACCAAAGUACCCUUGACCUUGAUUUUCUUGUAUUGAAGAUUCUUUUAAAAUUUUCUAUAGGAGGUUUUCCUUGAAAAUUACUUUUCUAAUCCUUAUCUUGAGGAUUUUGCGAACAGUAAUUAGUCUGGAAU
rnacentral:lncRNA from 1 species